CCUCUAAAAUAGAUUCACC
rnacentral:snRNA from 1 species